UACCUGUUCCUGGGUCCUUGUUCUUGUU
rnacentral:sRNA from 1 species